rnacentral:misc_RNA from 1 species
UCUCCGUAGGUGAACCUGCGGAGGGAUCAUUACAGGACUCGCAAGACUCCUACAACCCUGUGAACUUAACUAUAAGCACGUUGCUUCGGCGGGUGUCUCGGAGGGGGUUCUCCCUCCCCGAGACGCUAAACCCGCCGGCAGCCUACUAUACUCUGUCUCUUUGCGUUGGCAUCUCGAGUACAAUCAAACAAGUUAAAACUUUCAACAACGGAUCUCUUGGUUCUG